UCAUCGGAAUGAUGCCACUUGCUUCAUGCAGAAUGUUGAUCCAUAUGGAUGAAAAUGACAAGAGGUCAUGAGUGUGAAACAUGUUGUUCAUGGUUGGUGUUACGGCCUACUAUUAAUUGGUUAUGGAUCAAUAUCUCAAAAAGAGGUGUAAAUGACCUGGAGGUUUUAUUGUCCCUUGUAAUGAGUAUAUAAUGUAUAACUUCGUAGACAACCUAAGAAGGUGAACGAAACAUCGUGAGUAUGAUGAUGCUGAAGUAACUUUAAGGGCCCAAAAGCGAAGGCGAUGCAAUCAUUAUUAAGGUUGUUUAGAGAUAUGCGGCAAGACCUUCGAAGCCGGUUAGCACAUGUGGUCAAAGAAAAAAACACAGUGAAAAAUGUAGUAUAACUAAGAAGGAAUCGUCUAAAUUCUACGAUUGUGGUCAACUUGAAAAUCUAGCCAACGACUCUCCAAAUAACAACACAAAAGAGACGUGUCAAAUGUUUGUUAUUUGCAACUAAUUGAGAAUAAUUGCUUACUAUAUAUUAAGAAAAGAUGAAAAAGACUAACCGAUUGAAAAGGCCAGAAUAUCUCCUGCCAAUAUCAAUCUUUUCAGAAUAUGUAUGUAGUUUUUCAGUUAAGCAAGAAAUAAAAAGGGAUUUAUUUUGAUGUAGCUGAGUUAGGUGAUUGAUUGAUAACAAGAAUGAACAACAAGUGAUGGGGUGAACAAAGAAAGAGGCAAGUGUUUCUAGGGAGAGUUCAAUGUCAAAAGAUGUGAAUGUGUGUAUGUGUGUGUUUUACUCUUCAUCUACCUUUCCUUAUAUACUCUCUCCUCUUUGUCCUGAACUUUUUGGUGAACCAUGAAAUCUGGGCUUCUAACCAGACAAGACCGAGAUUCUCGUGCUUACAACACCUUGGGCUCUACUUCAU
rnacentral:lncRNA from 1 species